UCCUCCGUGGCGCAAUUGGCUAGCGCGUUCGACUGUUAUGCAUCCAGCAAAUCGAGAGGUUGAAAGUUCGAGCCUUUCCGGGGGAG
rnacentral:tRNA from 1 species